UAAAUUUGUUAAUAAGAUAAAUUAAAUCAGAUUUGUUCUUCACUACGCUUCUGCAGUUUCAUUGUAGUACUUUGCCUAAGUGAGCCAUUGUUAAAUAUGUCAGGUAUUAUUUUCAAUAAAGGGGCAACGUUGGACGGUAACAUUGUUUGUGACAGUGAUGAAACUAAAGCUAUAAUAAUAUCAGCCACCGAUUGUGGUUCUGGCAGGGUACCAGUUUUAGGAAGUGCACACCCAUCGGCAUAAUUGGGAGAGUUGAAAUCACCUGCAAUAGCUUGGUGGGCUGCACGAUCAUAACCUUGUAUCGAUUUAGGCGGAGAACGGGGCUUCUGAAAAACAGUUUUUUUAUAAGAAUUACUGUGCAAUGAUUGAAUGGCUGGAAUUUUGACAUCUUGGCUGUUUGCUAUAAAAGAAGAUGAGGAUGUAAACUUUAAUGUGUCUGCAUAUGAUUUAGUCACCGGAGGAUAUAUCUUUGAUGCUUCUGAACAUGUCCACUGGUACACCUCUUACAAGCCCCAUUCUGGUAACAUUAAAUGAUGAAAUAAAGGCUUCAUAGCCUUUUUCCAAUAAGGCAUGAUGCUUUAUAAAAGAAUUUGCAGCUGAGUGACUGGAGAAUGCUAUCGAAAUUUUGUUGCGACCGAUACGUUUCAAACUGCCUUGUACUAUGUUUGGCACCUGGUUUUUAUAUAAAAAUCUGCCAAAGCAUAUUGGAUGCAAGUUGAGAUCCUGUGUUACCUCACCAGUACUAGACCUAGCAACAUGAAUAAUGAAUGGUGAAGCAUCCAAUGCA